UCUCCCGCUCCCUCUCCCAUUCCAUUUGCAUCAAGAUUCAUUUUCAAUUAUCUUUAUAUACAGAAGAUCAAAAGAUCAAUUUAGUAUAAAUUAAGUAAAGCUUUCAACAGUUUGCACCCACACAGAAACACAAAUUGUAAAGUACUGUUUGAGUCCUAGUUAUAGCAUUAAUUUACAUUGUACAUCACAUUAAGGACAGAGAUACUACACGGGAAGUGAUUGUACAGUGACUCCUGUUGUUGAUUUAACAAUUGACACUCUUGUUUAUGGCGUCGGUAAUCACCCAAGGCUUUGGUCAUGGGUUGCCAAGGCUAUGGGAGCCUCUUGAGUUCGCCAACUCCUAUCUUAUUUAGACAAGGUCAUAGUCAUAGUCAAAGUGGAAGUUCUCUCCUCCCUUCAGAGAAAGGUACCUCCUUCUUUGAUGGCCUGCUUUUUCCCCUGGGAUCUCACUCACAGAGAUCUUCCAUUUAGGUUUAGGUGUUUUUUUUUUUUUGCCAGAGUGUCUUGGCUGGCUUUCCAUGCCUAUAAUAAUCUCAUGGGCUUUUCAGCUGGACCCGAAUGCCUUAAGGGCUGAUUCUGAGGCCAGAGUGCUCUUUAGGAUAUCUGCCAUUCUAUGAAUCUGCCGUGUAUCCCGCUUCCCAUGUUGGAACAUUCUCUCCUUUUUAAUUCUUUCAGUUAGUAUUUGCAGACCCUUGUCUUGUUUGUGUGAUCCCUUUGACUAUUAGAGCUAUCAGUGUGAUCAAUUGUGAACUGAAACUGAUCACUUGGACUAGUGAGAUGGCAUCGGUACAUGCCAGCUUGAUGGGAUUGAAUUGGAAUCCCCUGGCACAUUUCUAACUACGAUUUGGGGCAAGUCCGAUUGAGCAUGUCCCAAACUGUACAUCUCCUCCCUCUCUUAUUCCCACUCUUAUAUUUAACAGAGAUCAUUUUUCAGUUAAAUUUAAACACCUAAGAAUAAUUGUGUGUUAAUUACAGAGUUCAACCAAUAGUAUUAAGUAGAACAAAAUAAAUACUAAAAGGGAUAAAGUAUUAAGUUGUUCAUCAACAGUCAGGGCAAGGGCUGAUCAAGUCACCGUUUCUCAUAGUGUCCAUUUCACUUCAACAGGUUUUCUUUUUGGUGCUCGGUUAGUUGUCACCGAUCGGGGACAACAUGAUAUUUGCCACUUUGGGACUGGCUUAUUUCACUCAGCAUGAUGUUUUCCAGAUUCCUCCAUUUUGUUGCAAAUGACCGGAUUUCAUUGUCUUUUACUGCUGUAUACCUCACCCCAGUUUGAAUGGCUCACAUACAGAAAUCUACCAACAACAGAUGCUGGGACUGUGAGAUUAUGAAGAACUUCCCAGAGACACUAGGAGCCAUGUCAUGAUGGGCAUGGAGAUGAGGCAACACAUGAAGAACCUGUCAUGAACCUGCCAGAGAGAAACAAAUGAUGUCAACAACUGCAUGAUCUUGGAAGUGGAUCCUUCUUAAAAUGAGCUUUUUGAUGAGAACCCAAUCUUUACCCAUGCCCUUCAUUGCAGCCCUGUGAGACCCUGAACAAAAUACCAAGUUAAGCUGUGCACAGAUUUCUGACCUAAAAACUAAGGAAAUAAAUGCAUGUUGUUGAAGCCACUAAGGUAAUAACUUAUUAAGCAGCAUAAAAACAAAUACAUAUAAGAUUACAUAAGACUCAGCCCCUUUAUACCUAUAUAUCAUAUUCAAGAAUAGAAGAAGAGGAAGAAGAAAUCUGUGAUAGCAUUUAGACACACAGACUGAAUUUUAAAAAGAAAAUUAAAAUUGAAAGAGACUGGAUUGGACUGAGUUUACUCAACUGCAGAAAAGUUUUUCUGACAUCCUGGAGUAUAGGGGACAGUCAGGCUCAUGGGGGAGUUUUGAUAAACUAUAGAGAAAUAAGGUAUUUUUUUGUACAUAUGAGUCUAGUGGGAAUAGAUUAGUGAUAUAUGGACACAGACUUCAGCCAUAGUACCGUGGUUGUCUUGAAAUUUAUGUUUAGAGUUACUGGGGUUUGCAAUCAUUAUUGGAUCCAGAGUGUUCGUAUCUAUAGCACUUCUUUACUGUAUCCUGAUGUUAAAUGGACCAAUUUUUGAACAUUAAAGAGGACUUAAUAGAUUAAAGAGUCCAUUAAAGAUCCUGUUUCUUUGACUACAGUUUAAUAAAAUGAAUAAAGCCCAGUAUCUAUGGCUUUUGUGUAUGUCUUUGGUGGGGGGAGGGGUUAGACUGUUCAGUAUAAUGAGCUCUCAUUUGGAAAUUGUAUCUUCAUUUGUAAGAAAGGUUAAGAUAGGUAUGGAGCAUUAAAAUGGCCCAGUUGAUUAAUUAUACUUGGAUGGAGUUCAGCUUUGUUUGUGACAAUGCAUCCAGGAAGUAGUAACCAGUGGCAGGGUUCAGCAGUCCUUCAGUUGUCAUGUGUCUUAUGUUGACAGUGUGAAAUGAAUCUUUGCCCUUUGACAGGGAAGCAGGCAUACAUCAAGUGCAAAGUCCAGGAGACUAUUCAUUUGGGGUUCCCUGACUGUACUUGGAUCUCUCCAUAAAGAUAGGCUCUGAUGGAGUUCGUUAGAUUCUGGCAAAAUUAAGGUUGGCACAGUGUUUGGCUUUCCUACUCAAAUCUUCCAGAGGCAAUCAUUCCUGAAUGGCAGCUCCUCAUCAAUUUAUACCAGAAUGGCACCCUUGCUGGAUGCCAGAUUCUGUGAUUCCCUAACCCUUUGUUCCAUGUGGGCAGGGCCCCCUGAAUUCCAAUCUAUUUGGUGCCUGAAGAAAUACUUGUCUCUGGACUCUUGAAGUGCUCAUCCAGGAUGCCUUUGAGUUCAAGGCUAUUAAAAUGUCUAUGCACUAGGAUAGUCAGAAGGAAACAAAAGGACAUACUAGUAUCCUUGCAGAAAUGGAUAUAAAGAUGGAGUAGAGGGAAUUCAUCUUGGUGGGUGAGGUCUUGGCAGUGGUCGCUUAAGCAGCUGGAAACUCCAUGGAUUUGGCAAGCCACUGGGGCUGCCCAGGACCUUAAGUACAACAACGCCUAUAGAGCAAGGGAGAGGAGAAACCAAAUCACUGAUAGUGUCAUGAGUUUCUUCCCCCUUCCAGUUCAUUUUUAACAAAAUCAGUCAACUAAUCAUUUGAAUUUUCUCACAUAUGCACACAUCACUAAGAAAGAAGGUAUGGAGCACAAUAGUUAUGUUCUGAGUUAC